GUGCUCGCUUCGGCAGCACAUAAACUAAAAUUGGAACGAUACAGAGAAGAUUAGCAUGGUCCCUGCACAAGGAUGACAGGCAAAUUUGUGAAGCGUUCCAUAUUUUU